rnacentral:rRNA from 1 species
UGGGGAAUAUUGCACAAUGGGCGCAAGCCUGAUGCAGCAACGCCGCGUGCGGGAUGACGGCCUUCGGGUUGUAAACCGCUUUCAGCAGGGACGAAGCGCAAGUGACGGUACCUGCAGAAGAAGCACCGGCCAACUACGUGCCAGCAGCCGCGGUGAUACGUAGGGUGCAAGCGUUGUCCGGAAUUAUUGGGCGUAAAGAGCUUGUAGGCGGUCUGUUGCGUCGAAAGUGAAAACUCAGGGCUUAACCCUGAGCCUGCUUUCGAUACGGGCAGACUAGAGGAAGGUAGGGGAGAACGGAAUUCCUGGUGGAGCGGUGGAAUGCGCAGAUAUCAGGAGGAACACCGGUGGCGAAGGCGGUUCUCUGGACCUUUCCUGACGCUGAGAAGCGAAAGCGUGGGGAGCAAACAGG